AAAAGACUUAGUCCUAACCUUACUGUUAAUUUCUGCUAAAUGUAUACAUGCAAGUAUCUGCGCCCCAGUGUAAAUGCCCUAGAGCCCUUAUUAACUCAGACAAAAGGAGCAGGCAUCAGGCUCGCCCACUGCUGCAGCCCAAGACGCCUUGCUUAGCCACACCCCCACGGGUACUCAGCAGUAACUAAUAUUAAGCAAUGAGUGAAAACUUGACUUAGUUAUAGCAGCACUCAGGGUUGGUAAAUCUUGUGCCAGCCACCGCGGUCACACAAGAGACCCAAAUUAACUGUACUACGGCGUAAAGAGUGGUACCAUGCUAUCCUAACAACUAAGAUCAAAGUGCAGCUAAGCCGUCAUAAGCCCAAGAUGCAUCUAAAAACACCCUCAAAACGAUCUUAGCACUUCCGACUGAUUAAAUCCCACGAAAGCUAGGGUACAAACUGGGAUUAGAUACCCCACUAUGCCUAGCCCUAAAUCUUGAUACUCUCUACCACUAAAGUAUCCGCCCGAGAACUACGAGCACAAACGCUUAAAACUCUAAGGACUUGGCGGUGCCCCAGAUCCACCUAGAGGAGCCUGUUCUGUAAUCGAUAACCCACGAUACACCCAACCUCCCCUUGCCUAAAACAGCUUAUAUACCGCCGUCGCCAGCCCACCUCCCCUGAGAGCCCAACAGUGGACAUAAUAGCCCCACCCCGCUAGCAAGACAGGUCAAGGUAUAGCCUAUGGGGUGGAAGAAAUGGGCUACAUUUUCUAAGAUAGACAACUUUCACGGAAAGGGACAUGAAAUCGUCCCCAGAAGGCGGAUUUAGCAGUAAAGAGGGAUAAUAGAGCCCUCUUUAAACCGGCCCUGAGGCACGUACAUACCGCCCGUCACCCUCCUCACAAGCUAUACGCACACAUAACUAAUUCCAACCCAUCAGCUGAAGACGAGGUAAGUCGUAACAAGGUAAGUGUACCGGAAGGUGCACUUAGCAUAUC
rnacentral:ncRNA from 1 species